UACGUAGGGGGCAAGCGUUGUCCGGAUUUAUUGGGCGUAAAGAGCGUGUAGGCGGCUUUACAGGUCCGUUGUGAAAACUCGAGGCUCAACCUGGAGACGCCACCCGAUACUGCUGUGGCUAGAGUCCGGUAGGGGAGCAUGGAAUUCCUGGUGUAGCGGUGAAAUGCGCAGAUAUCAGGAGGAACACCAGUGGCGAAGGCGGUGCUCUGGGCCGGAACUGACGCUGAUGAGCGAAAGCGUGGGGAGCAAACAGG
rnacentral:rRNA from 1 species